UGAGGCAUCUUGAUUGUAUUAAAGUUGGGCUACAACACGCAAAGAUGAGUUUAUGUCGCAUUAGUUAGUUGGUGAGGGUAAAGGCCCACCAAGACGAUGAUGCGUAGCCGAUCUGAGAGGAUGAACGGCCACAUUGGGACUGAGACACGGCCCAGACUCCUACGGGAGGCAGCAGUAGGGAAUUUUCGGCAAUGAGGGGAACCUUGACCGAGCAACGCCGCGUGAACGAGGAAGGUCUUUGGAUCGCAGAGUUCUGUUGUAAGGGAAGAACAUUAUAGAUAGGGAAUGAUCUAUAGCUGACGGUACCUUGCCAGAAAGCCACGGCUAACUACGUGCCAGCAGCCGCGGUAAUACGUAGGUGGCGAGCGUUACCCGGAAUCAUUGGGCGUAAAGGGUGCGUAGGCGGCAGAUUAAGUUUGUGGUGAAAGAGCAAGGCUCAACCUUGUUAAGCCACAAAAACUGGUCAGCUAGAGUGCAGUAGAGGCAAGUGGAAUUCCAUGUGUAGCGGUAAAAUGUGUAGAUAUAUGGAGGAACACCGGUGGCGAAGGCGGCUUGCUGGGCUGUAACUGACGCUGAGGCACGAAAGCGUGGGGAGCAAAUAGGAUUAGAUACCCUAGUAGUCCACGCUGUAAACGAUGAAUACUAAGUGUUGGAGAGAUCCAGUGCUGCAGUUAACGCAAUAAGUAUUCCGCCUGGGGAGUAUGCACGCAAGUGUGAGACUCAAAGGAAUUGACGGGGACCCGCACAAGCGGUGGAUUAUGUGGUUUAAUUCGACGCAACGCGAAGAACCUUACCAAGCCUUGACAUCCCGAGCGAAGCUAUAGAGAUAUAGUGGAGGUUACCUCGGAGACAGGUGGUGCAUGGUUGUCGUCAGCUCGUGUCGUGAGAUGUUGGGUUAAGUCCCGCAACGAGCGCAACCCUUGUUUUCAGUUACCAGCAUUAAGUUGGGGACUCUGGAGAGACUGCCGGUGACAAACCGGAGGAAGGUGGGGAUGACGUCAAAUCAGCAUGCCCCUUAUGGCUUGGGCUACACACGUAAUACAAUGGCGUAUACAAAGGGAAGCGAACCCGCGAGGGGAAGCAAAUCUCAUAAAGUACGUCUCAGUUCGGAUUAGAGUCUGCAACUCGACUCUAUGAAGUUGGAAUCGCUAGUAAUCGUAGAUCAGCACGCUACGGUGAAUACGUUCUCGGGUCUUGUACACACCGCCCGUCAA
rnacentral:rRNA from 1 species